rnacentral:lncRNA from 1 species
CUGCUAUGAAAUCCUGUUGUACACUGGGUUUUCUAAUGAGCCCACGGACACCGUAACAGGACACCUUCCAGUGCCGCAAACUGGCGAUGCUCGUAUCUCCCACUUGAGGUUAUUUCCCCCUCUGCAAGGGAACAGCUGCAAACAGAAACUGAAGGAGUCUCCGCACUGGCAUUUCAGAAAGUGGGGAGAGGUAACGUGUGCUCUUGGCAAGCCCUGCCUUACCCUCAGCACGGAGGCUGAGCAAGGUGUUUUGAGAAGAAGACAGUAUGUUUGUAUGCCAAGCAUUAAGUUAGUUGUUUCUGGAGCAGACAAGUGCAACAACAGGCUGCAAGUCCACAGAAAAGCGCUGCAAGCUAUGGCCAAGUGCUGA